rnacentral:lncRNA from 1 species
UAAAAUUGCUGCCUUGCGAAGAAAUGAACUUCUGAUCCCUGGAAUUGUUCUAACAGCUGUUUUAAAAUGUAGGUUUUAUUAUUAUUCAGGUAUGGUGAGCCGACAGAUCAAGAGAUGAUUGCCGUUGAAAAAGAUAAUUUCUUACAGUUCCCAAGAGAAGAGGGUACACCACGCCACACAGGGACACACAGGUGAAAAGGUGAAUUGAAAAAAGCACAAGGAAGAGCAGUAAAGUGACCCAGAGACAGUGGGCCAUUGGACACAUGGGCCUGUCAAUCUGAAAGUCAAGGCUGAGGAAGAAUAUUAUCCAAAUCUGUAAAAUCAUGGGAUCUUGGAAAAUAAGACUGGCGUACUUAAUUGGCAUAACAAGUAUCACCCGCAGCUCUUCUCAGAAAUGUUGGUAUUGAUGCGGGCUCGGCGAUGCAGAGUCGAAAGAAAGAUUUCUUGGACUCUCAAGGUCUGGUAGUAGUGCUCAUUUAUUCAGAAAAUAGCAUGGAAACAGGACCCAGGGGCAGUGAAGGGCUGCAGGCAUGGGGACAGGACCCAUGGGCAGUGAAGGGCUGCAGGCAUGGGGACAGGACCCGUGGGCAGUGAAGGGCUGCAAGCAUGGGGACAGGACCCGUGGACAGUGAAGUGCUGCAGCCAUGGGCACAGGACCCGUGGGCAGUGAAGGGCUGCAGGCAUGGGACAGGACCCACAGGCAGUGAAGGGCUGCAGCAUGAGGACAGGACCCACAGGCAGUGAAGGGCUGCAAUGUGUUGAAGUUUAGGGCUAAAUGUAUAAGGCAUGGGUAUGUGACUUAUGUUUACUAGACAAAGGAAAGAUGAUGUAAAAAGUCAUUAAAUGGUAUCAGUGCAGGUGGGGUCUGGUUAUCGUGUGGUCGUAUAACUUUAGAUAUGAAUUGGGUCAUAUAGAUCGGCUUAUAGGCCAGGACGCCUUGGGCUUCUCUCCCUGGGGCAGCUUUGAUCCACGUCGGUAUCAACCGAGUAAGCUCAUUGUAUAGUAUAUAUAAAUUUUCUUUUUGAUUCUUUUGGGAGGACUGAACUUACUCAUUUGACAAAUAUUUUUCAGCAUCUACUCUGUGCCAAGCACGAGGCUGGGCUAGAGAUGCAAAGAUAAGUAAGACAGUCUCCUCCUUCAAGGAAGCACGUGACUCUGCUCAUGGCUCCAUAGCAAUUUUCCUCCACCAGCAAUAACAGAAGGAAAUUGACAGAGACUCGUCGUUUUUAGCAUCACAGUGAAAAUAUUUCAUGCUAAUAGUAGACUAGAAUCUUUGGGAUUUUUUUC